CAGAAAGAGAAAGCAAGUAGAAGAGAGUGUAGGGGAAAAGAAAGGAAAAGAAUUGAGUAGAAAGGAGAGUGGAAAAGGAAAGGGAGAUCAUAGCAAACUCCUCGAUUUCGAAAGAUUUUGAUUAAACAAAAGAAUGAGAACCGACAUGGCCAGUCUCUGUAGUCUCAGCCUGGAUGAGCUUCUCCACUUUGGACUCCUUCUUCUCCGGCGGAGGCUCUCCGUGUCUCCUCUCGCUGAGGCGACGCUUACGGACCGAUUUCGUCCUCGGGUUCUCCAUAUCAUUAGACAUGAUGCUGAUUUGUCUGUGAGUGCAGAAAAAAGAACCGAGUGCUCCAUCAUGCUGGAAAAGGCAUUGUUCUUCACAAAAAUGUUCUUGGAUGGAUUGGAGAAGUUGGAGGUUUUUGCGCUGUUCUUUAUUCAUGGCUAGGUUCUUAGGCUAAAUUGUGAGUGUGUCCAUUCCUUUGGCUGAGAAGCAACCCCACACAUGAAUGGUCUCAAGAUGCUUUACUAUUGGCAUGAAGCAGGACUGAUCAUAGCGCUGAAAAUUUCUCUUCCGGACAAGGUUUCUUCUGGAUGCCCCAAACAAACGGAUAUGGGAUUCAUCAGAGAAAAUGACUUUACUUAUGGGAUGGAAGACCACACUGCAUGCCAGCUUAUGUGUUGAUUUAUGAAUAAAAAAGUAUAAAGCGCAAGUCUAUGCUAUGCUAAAAGGCAUAGAGCUUACCUCAUAAACUGUCUUCGAGCCUCAUUGACUGCAGGUUCUUGGUCCACCAUAUCAGUGUGGAUACUGAGAGCAUCAUCGGGGAAUAACUCUUCCUCGUCAAUCAAUACUUCUACAACAGAUAAACAAAUGUCCAGUAAGUCAUAUCAAAGAGAUAAUGACAACCAGUCAGGCUAAAGCAUAAUGUUGGAUCAUUUCAAUAACAGUAAGAUGUUACAGGUCCAAAUACAGGUCAUGUGACAAGUAAUAGGUUGAGAAUUAUUUAUAAAAAUUUGCAUGUUGUACGAUAUCCACGAUUUCGUCCCCAUCAGCUUUAGUAACACACCUCAAUUUCAACAGGGUUUGUCUU